GAUUAACGCUGGCGGCGUGCAUAACACAUGCAAGUCGAACGAUGAAACUUAAAUGAUUUCUUCGGAAUGAACUUAAGUGGAUUAGUGGCGGACGGGUGAGUAACGCGUGAGUAACCUGCCUUACACAAGGGGAUAGCCGUUGGAAACGACGAAUAAUACCCUAUGAAACUAUCACUUCGCAUGAAGCGAUAGUCAAAGUGUUAGCGGUGUAAGAUGGACUUGCGUCUGAUUAGCUAGUUGGUGAGAAAAAAGCCCACCAAGGCAACGAUCAGUAGCCGGCUUGAGGGAGUGUGCGGGCACAGUGGGACUGAGACACGGCACAGACGACGACGGAAGGGAGAAGUGGAGAAUUUUGAACAAAGGGGGAAAGCCUGAUGCAGCGAAGACGGGUGAUUUAAAAGAUCUUAGGGUAGAAAAAAUCUUUGGUAUAGGAAGAAAAUGACAGUACUAUACGAAUAAGGUCCGGCUAAUUACGUG
rnacentral:rRNA from 1 species